rnacentral:rRNA from 1 species
GAUGAACGCUGGCGGCGUGCCUAACACAUGCAAGUCGAGCGGAAGGACGAGAAGCUUGCUUGGCUGAUGUGAGCGGCGGACGGGUGAGAAACACGAGUAUAACCUGCCUAUAAGAGUGGGAUAAGUACGGGAAAGCGGAUAUAAUACGGGAGAAGAUUUUGAACCGCAGGGGUCAAAGGUGAAAGACGGUGGUGCGGUCACUAAUAGAGGGUUCCGAGCUGGAUUGGCUAGUUGGUAAGGUAACGGCCUACCAAGGCAACGAUGGAUAGCCGACCUGACAGGCUGAUAGGCCACACUGGAACUUAGACACGCUCCAGACUCCUACGGGAGGCAGCAGUAGGGAAUCUUCGGCAAUGGGCGAAAGCCUGACGCAGUCAGGCCGCGUGUGUGAUGAAGGUCUUCGGAUCGUAAAGCUCUGUUAUUAGGGAUGAACAUCUGUCUAAUUAAAUGUGGCCAUCUUGACGGUACCUAAUCAAAAAGCAACGGCUAACUACGUG